AGCAGCCGCGGUAAUUCCAGCUCCAAUAGCGUAUAUUAAAGUUGUUGCAGUUAAAAAGCUCGUAGUUGAAUUUCGGGACCAAUAUGUCGGUCGUGCCUCGGUACGUACUGGUGUUAUUGGUUUCUCUCUUCUGAGGAUCCUUGAUGUCAUUAAUUUGGUGUCUUGGGAAAUCAGGACUGUUACCUUGAAAAAUUAGAGUGUUUAAAGCAGGCAUACGCUUGAAUACAUUAGCAUGGAAUAAUGAAAUAGGACGUUCGAUUCUAUUUUGUUGGUUUCUAGGAUCGACGUAAUGAUUAAUAGGAAUAGUUGGGGCAUUAGUAUUCAAUUGUCAGAGGUGAAAUUCUUGGAUUUAUUGAAGACUAACUACUGCGAAAGCAUUUGCCAAGGAUGUUUCAUUAAU
rnacentral:rRNA from 1 species